CUGGACUCCAAUUCAGAGAUCCACCUGCCUAUGCCUCCUGGAUUAAAGGCCACCAUACCAGUGGAAAGGCUCAGCACCCUUGGGCACUCUCCUUCCAAGCCAGGUAGUCCUGGGCUGUAUGAGGAUAUAGGAGGACACCAGAGCAAGCAAGCCAGUAAGCAGCCUUUCUCCAGUUUCUGCUUCAGUUCCUGCCUCCGGAUUCCUGCACUCAAGUCCUGCACUGGCUUCCCCUUCAUAAUGGUCAGGUGUACGAUUUCCUUUCCCAAAUUGCCUUAGGUCAAUAGAAAGCAAACUAGAAAGUUUAUUAUGUUCUAUGCUGGAGGUUAAACCCAGGUCCUUAGUAGGUGUCUGUCACUGAGCGAAUACCUCCAGCCCCAGGGGGUUUCAGUUUGGGCAAUGAAAUCAUUGUGUAGGAAGUUCUUAACCUUUUUUUUUUAUUUCCGGGUAUGGCUUUUUGUUUUAAUGGUUUUCAGAGAACCCAUUAUAGAGCAUUAAGUGGAGAGACUAGAGUGACAUUGGGUCUCUUCCUAGUUCCUCCUUUAAUUCCUUACUAAUUUUAACAUUUAAGUAAUUUAAAAAUUCCUUACUGGUUGGUUCAUGUUUAUGAGUAGUGUUUUCUGUUCUUGACUGAGACUUUUUUCACUCUUUAUGACAGUGCUUUGCUGCAAUUAUAGGACUCCUGAUGGAGGGAAGGCUAUGUAAACCAGAUAGGAAGCUGGGAGCUGUUUAACCGCCCUGUAUACACCGCCUAAUUUGCUUGUAAAGAAACGUUCAGGAGUUCGUUCUGACUGACCAACUUGGUUUAUGUGUGCAUUAAAUCAGUGUGAUCAAUGAUGCCCAGGCAAAGAAAUAGCACAUGACAACUGAAAGCUUCGCCUGGUAUCCCUCGGUGGUCAGAGUCCCUCCUCCCCAGAGAUGCUCCCAGAGGCCGGAAGAAGGCAUCCCCUGUAGCUGGAGUUACAGCUGCCUAUGAACCGCCUGUCAUGCAUGCUGGAAACUGAACUCAGUCCUGUGCAAGAAGAUCAAGUGCUUUUAACUAUCCACCUGGACCAUGUGAUGUUCCUGCCUCAGCCUCCUGCAUAAAUGAGAUUAAAGACACAAGACAGGCAAACCCAGCUUAUGUUGUUUACAUGUGAAAGUGUAACUGAACCAAGUCUCUAAGGAAGCUUGAAAAAUAUGCCUCCUGUAUGGCAGAUAAAUUACCAUCUGAGAAGUCUGCAGAUGCUUAAUAAGCCAGCCCAUAAUUCUAAAAGCAACUUGUAGAAAAACAGUUAAGGAAUGCGUGCUUAUUCUAACUGUAUUUUGAAAUGAACUAAGACGAGCGUUAAAUAAUAGAAAAACACAGAGAAAGAACAGAGAGAACGAGGCUCUGGAAGCUGUGACGCUGAUGGAUGUGAACCUGAGCUGACCCUGCCAGUCACUCUAAGACUUUUACAAUGGGACAGAGUGAUGCUGUGUUGAUUCAAGGCCCAGCCUACAGAAUGCCAAGCUGCCUCAGUUUUGCACAUUAACAGGCACACCUGCUGGAGGACCACUUCAAAAGGGAGGCCCAGGCACCCUACAAUCUCUAGCAAAGCCAUCCUUUACUUUUCCAUCAAGAUGCCGUCCCUAGGACACUUGAGUCGUAGGCAUUCUAAACCUGAGCCUUCCCCAUGACUUCAGUUGUGGGCAGUAUCCCAGGAAGCUACAGAAGUGCCUGCUGAACCAGAUCAACUCAUAGACUAAUUUGAGGCCAAAGAGAAACCCACCUGGAACCCUCUGGCCACAGGAACUGAGGAACAGUCUCAGACAGAAUCCUUCUAUUUUCCUCCUGAGCCUGGAGAUGACCCUGUGACACAGCUCUCUGUAAACAGAAAAGCCAGGCUUACAG
rnacentral:sRNA from 1 species